rnacentral:tRNA from 1 species
GUUCGCUGGAAAGCGGAUAGGAAGUCCGCUGGUCCCAGGUUCGAGUCCUGGUGGGCCCACCA